UACGAAGGGGGCUAGCGUUGCCCGGAAUCACUGGGCGUAAAGCGCACGUAGGCGGACUCUUAAGUCGGUGGUGAAAUCCUGGAGCUCAACUCCAGAACUGCCUUCGAUACUGAGAGUCUUGAGUCCGGGAGAGGUGAGUGGAACUGCGAGUGUAGAGGUGAAAUUCGUAGAUAUUCGCAAGAACACCAGUGGCGAAGGCGGCUCACUGGCCCGGUACUGACGCUGAGGUGCGAAAGCGUGGGGAGCAAACAGG
rnacentral:rRNA from 1 species